GAGCCAGGAGAAUAGCUUGAACCCAGGAGGCAGAGGUUGCAGUGAGCCGAGAUCAUGCCACUGCACUCUAGCCUGGGCAACAGAGCAAGACCCUGUCUCAAAAAAAAAAAAAAAAAAAUUUAGAGCCUAGAGCCUAGUUCCCCUCAAGGGUUGAUUGGAUUUAGUGACUCAGUUCUUACAAAUAGAAUAAAAUGGAAGUGAUGCUCUGUGUGUGUGUGUGUGUGUGUGUGUGUGUGUGAGAGAGAGAGAGAGAGAGAGAGACGGUCAUAAAACAGCACUGUGGCUUCCAUCUUGGUGAUACUCUCUUGGAUUUCUUACUCUGGGAGAAGCCAACUGCUCUGAGAAUACUCAGGCAGCCCUGUGGAUAGGCCCUUUCUGUGAGGAAUUGAGGCCUCCAGCAAGUAGCCAUGUGUAGUGAAUUCCAGGAGCCCGGGGGCUCACGCCUGUAAUCCCAGCACUUUGGGAGGCCAAGGUGGGCAGAUCAUGAGGUCAGGAGUUCGAGACCAGCCUGACCAACAUGGUGAAACCCCGUCUCUACUAAAAACACAAAAAAAUUAGCCAGGCAUGGUGGCAGGCACCUGUAGUCCCAGCUACUCAGGAGGCUGAGGCAUGAGAAUAGCUUGAACCCGGGAAGUAGAGGUUGCAGUGAGCCGAGAUAGCGCCACUGCACUCCAGCCUGGGCUACAGAACAAGAAUCUGUCUCAAAAAAAAAAAAAGAAAGAGAGAAAGAAAAAGGAAAAAAAGAAAGAAAAGAAAAGCUCGAUAUCACUGAUCACUAGAGAAAUGCAAAUCAAAACCACAAUGAAAUACCACCUCACACCAGUCAGAAUGGCUAUUAUUGAAAAGUCAAAAAACGGCCAGGCACGGUGGGUCACACCUGUAAUCCCAGCACUUUGGGAGGCUGAGUGGGUGGAUCACGAGGUCAAGAGUUCGAGAUUAGCCUGACCAACAUGGUGAAACACCGACUCUACUGAAAAUACAAAAAUUAGCCGGGUGUGGUGGCACACGCCUGGAAUCUCAGCUACUCAGGAGGCUGAGGCAGGAGAAUUGCUUAAACCUGGGAGGCGGAGAUUGCGGUGAGCUGAAAUCACGCCAUUGCACUCAGCCUGGGCAACAGAGGGAGACUGUCUCAAAAAAAAAAGAAAAGAAAAGAAAAGAAAAAAGUCAAAAAAUAACACAUGCUGGCGAGGUUGUAUGGAGAAUAGGGAAGCCUUAUAUGAUGUUAUGAUGUUGGUACGAGUGUAAAUUAGUUCAACCAUUGUGGAAAGCAGUGUGGCAAUUCCUCAAAGAGCUAAAAGCAAAACUAUCAUUCGACCCAGCAAUCUCAUUACUGGGUAUAUAACAAGAGGGAGAUAAAGCGUUCUACCAUAAAGACACAUGCAUGUGAAUGUUCAUUGCAGCACUACUCACAAUAGCAAAGACAUGGAAUCAACCUAAAUGCUCACCAGUGACAGACUGGAUAAAGAAAAUGUGGUACAUAUGCACCAUGGAAUACCAUGCAGCCAUAAAAAAGAACAAGAUUUUUUUGCCGGAAUAUGAAUGGAGCUGGAGGCUAUCAUUCUUGGCAAAAUUAUGCAGGAACAGAAAACCAAAUACUGCAUGUUCUCACCUGUAAGUGGGAGCUACAUGAUGAGAACUUACGAACACAAGGAAACAACAGUCACUGGUGUCUAUUGAGGAGGGAGGUUGGGAAGGAGAAGAACAGCAGAAAAGAUAACUAUUGAGUACUGGGGGUUAAUACCUGGGUGAUAUAUAAUAAUAGUAUGUACAACAAACCCCUGUGACACUCGUUUAUCUAUGUAACAAACCUUCACAUGUACCCCCAAACCUAAAAUAAAAAUUAAAAAAAAGAAAAAGAUAUGGCUAUGAGGUGGUAAUAACAUACAACAAGCUUUAUUUGGGCCGUGUUUUGACAGGGUUGCCUACUGAGGAAGCUUUUCACAGCAGGUGAUGAGACCUUCAGCAGGCUCAAUCAAACCUUCAAUGGCCCCGAAAGACAUCUUGAUUGAAACCUCAUGAGAGACUCUGAGCCAGAAAACCCAGCAACUUAGAACCCAGAUACCUGACCAUCAGCCACUGUGUGAAAUAAUAAAUGUUUGUUGUUUUAA